rnacentral:rRNA from 1 species
CCUACGGGAGGCAGCAGUGAGGAAUAUUGGACAAUGGGCGCAAGCCUGAUCCAGCCAUGCCGCGUGUAGGAAGACUGCCCUCUGGGUUGUAAACUACUUUUAUACUUGAAGAAUGUAUGCUUUGCGAAGCGUUUUGACGUUAGAGUAUGAAUAAGCACCGGCUAACUCCGUGCCAGCAGCCGCGGUAAU